rnacentral:rRNA from 1 species
UACGUAGGGGGCGAGCGUUGUCCGGAGUUACUGGGCGUAAAGCGCAGCGCAGGCGGUCUGCUAAGUUUGGAGUGACAGUUGGUGGCUUAACUGCCAAAGUGCUUCGAAAACUGACAGACUUGAGGGCUUCAGAGGGACACGGAAUUCCGGGUGGAGUGGUGGAAAUGCGUAGAGAUCCGGAGGAACACCAAAGGCGAAGGCAGUGUCCUGGGGAGUACCUGACGCUCAGGUGCGAAAGCCAGGGGAGCGAACGGG